CCCUUAGAUGUUCUGGGCUGCACACGUGCUACACUGGCAGGUUCAGCGAGCUUCAUGCCCGGAUCUGAAAGGAAUGGGAAAUCUUUUCAAAACUUGCCGUGCUUGGGAUAGAUGUUUGCAAUUAUUCAUCUUCAACGAGGAUUGCCUUGUAAGCGCACGUCAUCAGCGUGCAUUGAAUACGACCCUGUAUUCUGUACACACCGCCCGUCGCUCCUACCGAUUGAAGUUUUCGGUGAGUUGACAGGAGGAUUUUUUUGAAACUGGUUCGCCAGUGGAUUUUAGAUCCAAAUGCCAACGAAUCGAUGGCUUUAGAGGAAGGAGAAGUCGUAACA
rnacentral:rRNA from 1 species